GAUCAUGGCUCAGGAUGAACGCUAGCUACAGGCUUAACACAUGCAAGUCGAGGGGCAGCAUAAUCGUAAGCUUGCUUUGAUUGAUGGCGACCGGCGCACGGGUGAGUAACGCGUAUCCAACCUUCCCCUUAGUAGGGCAUAGCCCGGCGAAAGUCGGAUUAAUACCCUAUGUUAUCCGUCGAGGACAUCUGAAGUGGAUUUAAAGAUUUAUCGCUAAGGGAUGGGGAUGCGUCUGAUUAGGUUGUUGGCGGGUAACGGCCCACCAAGCCUACGAUCAGUAGGGGUUCUGAGAGGAAGGUCCCCCACAUUGGUACUGAGACACGGACCAAACUCCUACGGGAGGCAGCAGUGAGGAAUAUUGGUCAAUGGGCGAGAGCCUGAACCAGCCAAGUAGCGUGCCAGGAUGACGGCCCUAUGGGUUGUAAACUGCUUUUGCAUGGGAAUAAAGUCGGGGACGUGUCCCCGUUUGUAUGUACCAUGAGAAUAAGGACCGGCUAAUUCCGUGCCAGCCGCUGC
rnacentral:rRNA from 1 species